rnacentral:tRNA from 1 species
GCGGCGGUAGUCUAGCCUGGUUUAGGAUGGCGGCCUCCCAAGUCAUGCAGACGAAGAAAGCCGCUGAUCCCGGGUUCGAAUCCCGGCCGCCGCA